CUAUAUUUGGCCUAAUCAUUACUGACUUUGGUGCUAUCAGAGGUUUCAUUUUUAAUACUAUUUAUUUAUAAAAACUUAAUUGUAGAACUCUCUGGGGAUAGUGCAGAGUAAUAAAAUUAUGAGGUCUAGAGGUCUACUAUUUGCUUGUCUAAACACCUGAAAUUGGAUUUUUUUCUUCCUCCUUAUAUAUAGUUCUUUUAUCCAUUUGUUCACUGCUAUGUGAUCCAAACCCAGAUGACCCCCUAGUGCCAGAGAUUGCACGGAUCUAUAAAACAGACAGAGACAAGUACAACAGAAUAUCUCGGGAAUGGACUCAGAAGUAUGCCAUGUGAUGCUACCUUAAAGUCAGAAUAACCUGCAUUAUAGCUGGAAUAAACUUUAAAUUACUGUU
rnacentral:lncRNA from 1 species